rnacentral:rRNA from 1 species
AGGAUCAUUACAAAAUGUUAUGGGAUGUCCUAACGGGCACCCAAGCA